GCCGACGUGGUGGAAUUGGUAGACACGCUGUCUUGAGGGGGCAGUGGCGAGAGCCGUGCCGGUUCGAGUCCGGCCGUCGGCA
rnacentral:tRNA from 2 species